GAUGAACGCUGGCGGCGUGCCUAAUACAUGCAAGUCGAGCGAACAGACGAGGAGCUUGCUCCUCUGACGUGAGCGGCGGACGGGUGAGUAACACGUGGAUAACCUACCUAUAAGACUGGGAUAACUUCGGGAAACCGGAGCUAAUACCGGAUAAUAUAUUGAACCGCAUGGUUCAAUAGUGAAAGACGGUUUUGCUGUCACUUAUAGAUGGAUCCGCGCCGCAUUAGCUAGUUGGUAAGGUAACGGCUUACCAAGGCGACGAUGCGUAGCCGACCUGAGAGGGUGAUCGGCCACACUGGAACUGAGACACGGUCCAGACUCCUACGGGAGGCAGCAGUAGGGAAUCUUCCGCAAUGGGCGAAAGCCUGACGGAGCAACGCCGCGUGAGUGAUGAAGGUCUUCGGAUCGUAAAACUCUGUUAUUAGGGAAGAACAAAUGUGUAAGUAACUAUGCACGUCUUGACGGUACCUAAUCAGAAAGCCACGGCUAACUACGUG
rnacentral:rRNA from 1 species